CACGUAGGGCGCAAGCGUUGUCCGGAAUUAUUGGGCGUAAAGAGCUCGUAGGCGGUUUGGUAAGUCUGGUGUGAAAUCUCCACGCUCAACGUGGAGGGGCCACCCGAUACUGCCAUGACUGGAGUCCGGUAGAGGAGUGUGGAAUUCCCGGUGUAGCGGUGAAAUGCGCAGAUAUCGGGAGGAACACCCGUAGCGAAGGCGGCACUCUGGGCCGGUACUGACGCUGAGGAGCGAAAGCGUGGGGAGCAAACAGG
rnacentral:rRNA from 1 species